UACGUAGGUGGCAAGCGAUACUCGGAAUCACUAGGCGUAAAGCGCAGGUAGGCGGUUUGGUAAGUCUUUUGUGAAAGCUCCCGGCUUAACUGGGAGAGGUCAAGGGAAACUACUAGACUAGAGUGUGGUAGGGGAUACUGGAAUUCCUGGUGUAGCGGUGAAAUGCGUAGAUAUCAGGAGGAAUACCUAUGGCGAAAGCAGGUAUCUGGGCCAUCACUGACGCUGAGAAGCGAAAGCGUGGGGAGCGAACAGG
rnacentral:rRNA from 1 species